CACACGCGCGGGCACACACUCAGGGCACCUGCUGAGAAGAGAGGGCUUAUUAAUAACGGGUAGCUGUCGGUGUCCUGGUCCCACCAACCACCACACCUCAGCCGCACACCGCAGCCACAUUUUCAGGGCUGGAAACCUGGAAAGUUCCGAGGACGGGCUACCAACGAAAGCCUUGGCACUGCUGUGAAAGCCCAUCUUGUCACAUGUUUUCUUUGUGCUCAGCCUUUUAUACGGGGGGGGUGUUAGCAAGCAUGUUUAUUAACUCUGUUCGUCAAGUACAUUACAGGGGGAGCAAAUAAAAUCACUCCGCGCUCCCGCUGACUCGGACCGGGGUUAGCAGCAGACUGGCUUGUGCUGAGGUAGGUGCUGAGGUGGGGGGUCUGCACCGGAAAGGUGUGGAAUCGAAGGCGUCUGGCUGAUGAGGUGUGUGAAGCGUGCUGAUGUGAUGCUCUAUUUACAACUGACAUGGGAGAGCCAGGAAAUUAUUUCUGACCUUGGAAAGUAAAACAUUAUAUGAUUUAUAGCAUAAAUAAUUCAACAUGGGAGCAUAAAUAGAAAUCAUAACAAAUAUAGCAGAAUGUGGUCACACCUGAGUUGACAUUAUGCCCUGAACUGUCAAUAUUUAUAUAAAAAUGCAGGAACCCCACGAUCCCGGACUGGAUAAGGAGUAUGGAAGAUGGCUGGAUGGAUGGAUGGAUGGAUGGAUAAUUUCAGGGGCAGGCUGGUUAAGGACUUCAAAGUGGCAUCCCUCAAGUGCUGUCGACUGCAAUUGUGAGUGUGGAAAAAAACAAUGGGAUGAAAUCAGAGGAAGGUCCACGCGGUUUGCGAUGCUGCAGACGGUGCAUCUUUAAGCCGCGAGUGCAAGUGGCUCCUGACGUCUCGGCUGAGAGCCGUGAUAAGCAGUGGCUGUCCUGUUUCCAUAGCGCCCGGCGCUGCGUCUAACCCAGGGUGGCUGUCUAAAUAAACGCUGAACACUGCUCGCCUGUGACAGGCCGCUCUCGCAUUAUUCUCAAUGUCUGAUUGGCCAGUUUCUGGAGGCCUCAUGCCUUCAGUGUGAAAGCCGAAGAGGAGCAUCUCCUUGGAAGCGUGCCCCCCCAGCCCCUGCCCCCCCAGAGGUUACCUGGAGAAUCCUGCCCUUCUGCACCAUCUUUACUGGCUGUGCUUCCUCUCGUCCCUCCCAAGUCCUCCUUGUUUCUUAAUUACUAGCAACUAAAAUUUAAUUAGUCAUUAAAAUUCCUCCAGCAGACCUGCCCCCCCUAUUCCCUGGGGCCCGGCCUCCUGAGGUUGGGCAGGAAAUGGAUUCGAUGGGUGGGUGGAGCACCGCGGGGUCGUUUGAGCACCGGGGGACAUCGUACAGAGCUCCCCAGUGACUCAGGAGAGAGUUUCAUAUUGGGGGUGCACAACUUAAUAAUGUAUAUACCAAGGUACAAAGGUCUAUGUAUGGAGGGGGGGUGAAUGAAGCGAAAUUAAAUAUUGGGAGUACA